GGAAAGGCGCGCGAUACAGGGUGACAGCCCCGUACACAAAAAUGCACAUGCUGUGAGCUCGAUGAGUAGGGCGGGACACGUGGUAUCCUGUCUGAAUAUGGGGGGACCAUCCUCCAAGGCUAAAUACUCCUGACUGACCGAUAGUGAACCAGUACCGUGAGGGAAAGGCGAAAAGAACCCCGGCGAGGGGAGUGAAAAAGAACCUGAAACCGUGUACGUACAAGCAGUGGGAGCACGCUUAGGCGUGUGACUGCGUACCUUUUGUAUAAUGGGUCAGCGACUUAUAUUCUGUAGCAAGGUUAACCGAAUAGGGGAGCCGAAGGGAAACCGAGUCUUAACUGGGCGUUAAGUUGCAGGGUAUAGACCCGAAACCCGGUGAUCUAGCCAUGGGCAGGUUGAAGGUUGGGUAACACUAACUGGAGGACCGAACCGACUAAUGUUGAAAAAUUAGCGGAUGACUUGUGGCUGGGGGUGAAAGGCCAAUCAAACCGGGAGAUAGCUGGUUCUCCCCGAAAGCUAUUUAGGUAGCGCCUCGUGAAUUCAUCUCCGGGGGUAGAGCACUGUUUCGGCAAGGGGGUCAUCCCGACUUACCAACCCGAUGCAAACUGCGAAUACCGGAGAAUGUUAUCACGGGAGACACACGGCGGGUGCUAACGUCCGUCGUGAAGAGGGAAACAACCCAGACCGCCAGCUAAGGUCCCAAAGUCAUGGUUAAGUGGGAAACGAUGUGGGAAGGCCCAGACAGCCAGGAUGUUGGCUUAGAAGCAGCCAUCAUUUAAAGAAAGCGUAAUAGCUCACUGGUCGAGUCGGCCUGCGCGGAAGAUGUAACGGGGCUAAACCAUGCACCGAAGCUGCGGCAGCGACGCUGAUGCGUUGUUGGGUAGGGGAGCGUUCUGUAAGCCUGCGAAGGUGUGCUGUGAGGCAUGCUGGAGGUAUCAGAAGUGCGAAUGCUGACAUAAGUAACGAUAAAGCGGGUGAAAAGCCCGCUCGCCGGAAGACCAAGGGUUCCUGUCCAACGUUAAUCGGGGCAGGGUGAGUCGACCCCUAAGGCGAGGCCGAAAGGCGUAGUCGAUGGGAAACAGGUUAAUAUUCCUGUACUUGGUGUUACUGCGAAGGGGGGACGGAGA
rnacentral:rRNA from 1 species